GAGGGAGUUUAACGCAAAACUUGUUUUGCAGAGUAUCCAGAGUAGACUCGAGAAAAGUCGUCGUUCGCCAUUCCCAUCCGCCGCCAAGGCUCCAAACCUCCCUUCCCCUCCGCAGCUCCGCCUUACGACGCCAUGGCCGUCGCCUCGCUGUCGCCGCCGCCGGAUUGAGGGCGCCGCCAUCAGCCGGCCGCGUCGCUGCUCUUCGCGUGCUCCUCGCAACGGGGGGCGGCGGGGUCCGUCCAACUGCCGCUCCUACCACCUCUUCAUCAGCAGCAGCAACGCCCGCUUUCUCCGCCACCGGCAGCCGAGGCGCCGCCUCCUCCGCCCACAUCGCAGCGUUGACUUCUCCAGGUUGGCUCGCCAACUCCAUCGGCUGUAGACUUCCAGCCUUCCAGAUGGCAAGUGCCUUGACGGGAGUGAUGACAUCCGUCAUCAACAAGCUCACUGCUCUUCUUGGGAAGGAGUACAUGAAGUUGAAAGGAGUACAGGGGGAGGUGGAGUUUAUGAUAGAUGAGCUGAGCAGCAUGAAUGCUCUCCUUCAUAGGCUGGCGGAGGAGGACCAACACCUUGAUGUGCAAACGAAGGAGUGGCGUAACCAAGUGCGCGAAAUGUAUUAUGACAUUGAGGACUGUAUCGAUGACUUCAUGCAUCACCUUGGCCAUACUGACAUUGCUGAGUCUGCAGGGCUUGUCCAUAGGAUGGCCCAACACCUUAAGACUCUGAGGGUGCGCCACCAAAUUGCCAACCAAAUCGAGAAGCUCAAAGCACGCGUUGAAGAUGCAAGCAAGCGGCGAUUGAGGUAUAAGCUUGAUGAGCGCACCUUCAAUCUUAGUACUGCAGGGGCCAUUGACCCCCGGUUACCUUCUCUAUAUGCUGAGUCAGACGGGCUUGUUGGAAUUGAACAACCAAGGGAUGUGGUUAUCAAGUUGCUAACGGAGGGAGAGGGUGCAUCAUCGCAGAAGCUAAAGGUGAUAUCCAUUGUGGGUCCUGGAGGUCUAGGUAAAACUACACUUGCGAAUGAGGUGUUUCGCAAACUAGAGAGCCAGUUCCAGUGUCGAGCUUUUGUUUCUCUGUCACAGCAGCCUGAUGUGAAGAAGAUUGUAAGAAACAUAUACUGUCAAGUCAGCCAGCAGGAGUAUGGUAACAUAGAUAUAUGGGAUGAGGAAAAGCUGAUAAACGCAACCCGAGAAUUCCUAACGAACAAGAGGUACUUUGUCGUCAUUGAUGAUAUAUGGAGUACUCAAGCAUGGAAGACCAUAAGAUGUGCUUUAUUUGUGAAUAAUUGUGGAAGCAGAAUAAUGACGACAACACGCAAUAUGGCAAUAGCCAAGUCAUGUUGCACUCCUGACCAUGAUCGUGUCUUUGAAAUAAUGCCUCUUAGUAUAGAUAACUCGAAGAGUUUGUUUUUGAAACGAAUAUUUGGCUCAAAGGAUGUGUGCAUUCCUCAAUUGGAUGAGGUUUGUUAUGAAAUAUUGAAAAAAUGUGGCGGGUCGCCAUUGGCUAUUAUUACAAUAGCUAGCUUAUUGGCUAAUAAAGCUAAUACCAAGGAAGAAUGGGAAAGGGUGCGUAAUUCUAUCGGUUCAACACUGCAAAAAGAUCCUGAUGUAGAAGAGAUGAGAAGGAUAUUAUCCUUGAGCUAUGAUGAUCUUCCCCAACAUUUGAAGACAUGCUUACUGUAUCUAAGCAUAUUUCCAGAAGAUUAUGAGAUUGAGAGGGAUCGACUAGUAGAGAGGUGGGUUGCUGAAGGAUUCAUUAUUACAGAGGGGGGGCAUGACUUGAAGGAAAUAGGAGACUGUUAUUUUAGUGAUCUUAUCAAUAGAAGCAUGAUUGAACCGGUGAAAAUCCAAUACAAUGGUCGAGUUUUUUCCUGCCGAGUCCAUGAUAUGAUUCUUGAUCUCCUUACAUGCAAGUCAACUGAAGAAAAUUUUGCCACCUUCAUGGGUGGCCAAAAUCAGAAAUUAGUGCUACAGGGUAAGGUUCGUCGGCUCUCUCUCAACUAUUACACUCAAGAUCACAUCAUGGUUCCAUCAACAGCAAUCAUCACACAUUGCCGAUCUCUCAGUAUUUUUGGGUAUGCUGAACAGAAGCCUCCUCUUUCAAUGUUUCCAGUUCUUCGUGUACUUGAUAUAGAAAAUGGUGAAGAUAUGGAAAGCAGCUAUACCAAACACAUAAGGAAGCUGAUUCAGUUGAAGUACCUGCGACUGAAUGUAAGAAGCGUAGCUGAACUUCCUGAAAAACUUGGAGAGCUACAACAUUUGCAGACUCUUGAUCUCAGACGGACAAACAUAAGAAAAUUGCCAGAGAGCUUCGUUCGUCUGCAAAAUUUGACAUAUUUGCGUGUCAAUAAUCUGGAUUUGCCUGAAGGAAUUGGACAUCUGCAUGCUCUGCAGGAGCUAACAGAGAUCAGAAUCAGCCAGGACUGCUUGGCAUCUUCCUUGUUGGAGCUAAGAAAUCUGACGAAGCACACAUUGACUACAAAGUUUUCGCCGAUAAUUUAGUGUCAUCGCUUCGCAAACUGGGCAGACUCAACCUUCGAAUAAUGUGCAUCCUGGGUUAUUAUGCGUGUUCCAUAGAGUUCUUGUUGGAUUCAUGGUUCCCCUCCCCUCAUCUCCUCCAAUCAUUUGCGAUGGGCAUGAACUAUCAUUUCCCCAGAGUCCCAUCCUGGAUCGCAUCACUUGACAACCUCACUUGCUUAGAAAUCAACAUAGACCUGGUGGAUGAGAAAGUGAUACAGAUUCUUGGGGAUUUACCUGUUCUGAUAUUUCUGUGGCUGAUAUCAAAAGAAGCAGGUCCCAAUGAAAGGCUCGUCAUAAGAAGUAACAUGUUUGUAUGCCUGAAGGAGUUCCACUUCACCUGCUGGAGAAAUUGGGAAGGGCUGAUGUUUGAAGCUGGGGCAAUGGCAAAGGUUGAGAUGCUGCGGGUUUCGUUCGACGCCGGUGGCAGUGUUCUUGAUUUCGGCAUCCAGCACCUGGCUUCCCUCAGGCAUCUCAUCGUCGAGAUCGUCUGUGGCGGUGCGACGCUUCGGGAGGUGGAGGCACUGGAAGAUGCCAUUAGGCACUCAGCUGAUCUCCUUCCAUGCCACCCAGCAGUUGAAGUUCGAACUUGGGAUGAAGAAAAGAUGGUGAAGGAGGAGGUGCAAAUCAUGGCUGAAGAGAAGAUCCAAACAAACAGCUAAAAAACCAGCAUGACUUUGCUACCAGUGAAGGCAGCUGAGCAGUAUUUUAAGGCCCCGUUUGGUACGGCUCCAAACUCCAACUCCCAGCUCCAAACUCCUACUCCAGUUGAAGCUAGCUCCUAUUGGAGUUACAGACCGAUCAAAAGUGUUUGGCAAACUUUUAGCUCCAGAUCUGAAAAAAAAAAAGAAAAAAAAAGAAAAAAAAAA